rnacentral:misc_RNA from 1 species
AAGUCGUAACAAGGUAUCCGUAGGUGAACCUGCGGAUGGAUCAUUAACAAAGAUUCAACCCUCACGUCCUGUGAACUGUUUUGACAAAGGUCGGCUUCACCGCCGGCCACCAUUAAAAACGUAAAAAUUAAACCGAGUCCAAUAGUGAAGUUGAACAACUUUUAGCAACGGAUCUCUUGGCUCUC